UACGUAGGGUGCGAGCGUUAAUCGGAAUUACUGGGCGUAAAGCGUGCGCAGGCGGUGAGCUGUGUCCGAUGUGAAAGCCCCGGGCUUAACCUGGGAAUGGCAUUGGAAACUGGCUCGCUGGAGUGUGGCAGAGGGGGGUGGAAUUCCGCGUGUAGCAGUGAAAUGCGUAGAGAUGUGGAGGAACACCGAUGGCGAAGGCAGCCCCCUGGGCUGAGAUUGACGCUCAGGCACGAAAGCGUGGGGAGCAAACAGG
rnacentral:rRNA from 1 species